rnacentral:rRNA from 1 species
UACGUAGGUGGCAAGCGUUAUCCGGAUUUACUGGGCGUAAAGGGAGCGCAGGCGGCGCGCCAAGUCUGAUGUGAAACCCCGGGGCUCAACCCCGGGCAUGCAUUGGAAACUGGCGGGCUGGAGUGCCGGAGAGGUAAGCGGAAUUCCUAGUGUAGCGGUGAAAUGCGUAGAUAUUAGGAGGAACACCAGUGGCGAAGGCGGCUUACUGGACGGCAACUGACGCUGAGGCUCGAAAGCGUGGGGAGCAAACAGG